GGGGAUGUUUUUGGGAUUCGACAGGCGUAGAUUCGCAUUGACUGCGAUUCGUAGGUUACGUCUACGUAAAAACGUUACAGUUAAAUAUAACUGCAAAUAACAAAAAUUCUUACGCAUUAGCUGCUUAAUUUAGCGCAUGCGUUGCUCUUUGUCGGUUUACUCGUGGCUGACACUGAGUAUCAACUUUAGCGAGUUACGUUUAACUAUCUCACCUGAAUAGUUGAAAAGAGUCUUAACAGGUUAGCUAGCUCAUCCUAGCCCUGUUAUAUGGCGUUUUGAGCUAGUGAAGUUCAAGUAAUAUAACUAUGAUCGUAGAGGUCAGUGACGGAAUGCGUCUGGACAGGGGUUCAACUCCCCUCAUCUCCAUUU
rnacentral:tmRNA from 1 species